AUACGGAGGGUGCAAGCGUUGUUCGGAAUUACGGGGCGUAAAGCGCGCGUAGGCGGUCUGUUAUGUCAGAUGUGAAAGUCCUCGGCUCAACCGGGGAAGUGCAUUUGAAACUGGCAGACUUGAGUACUGGAGGGGGUGGUGGAAUUCCCGGUGUAGAGGUGAAAUUCGUAGAUAUCGGGAGGAAUACCGGUGGCGAAGGCGACCACCUGGCCAGAUACUGACGCUGAGGUGCGAAGGCGUGGGGAGCAAACAGGAUUAGAAACCCGAGUAGUCC
rnacentral:rRNA from 1 species